rnacentral:rRNA from 1 species
GAUGAACGCUGGCGGCGUGCCUAAUACAUGCAAGUCGAGCGAACAGACGAGGAGCUUGCUCCUCUGACGUUAGCGGCGGACGGGUGAGUAACACGUGGAUAACCUACCUAUAAGACUGGGAUAACUUCGGGAAACCGGAGCUAAUACCGGAUAACAUGUUGAACCGCAUGGUUCAACAGUGAAAGACGGUUUUGCUGUCACUUAUAGAUGGAGCCGCGCCGGAUUAGCUAGUUGGUAAGGUAACGGCUUACCAAGGCAACGAUGCGUAGCCGACCUGAGAGGGUGAUCGGCCACACUGGAACUGAGACACGGUCCAGACUCCUACGGGAGGCAGCAGUAGGGAAUAUUCCGCAAUGGGCGAAAGCCUGACGGAGCAACGCCGCGUGAGUGAAGAAGGUCUUCGGAUCGUAAAACUCUGUUAUUAGGGAAGAACAAAUGUGUAAGUAACUAUGCACGUCUUGACGGUACCUAAUCAGAAAGCCACGGCUAACUACGUG